CAUCUUCAUCUUCCAGCGCCCUCUAACACAGUGUGCUGCCUCUGUCUGUGCGUUGUGCUUAGCUGGACUGCAGAGACUGUCCGUCUCAUCCACCUGCGUGCUAUUGCAGCACAGCAGUACAGUGAGCGUGUCCUGCCUACACCCCAGGACAGAUGCCAAUUUCACAUUUCCCCAAAAUAACCACUGCCUUGCCUUCCCACUGAAUUGGUUAAAAUCAACGCUUUUGAUUGCGACAGGUAGCUUUCCAAGUAGCAAAGUUGCCCACGAUGGACUCUAAGCGAGAUAAAGACCAAGAUGCAGACUAUGAGAAGAUAACUGCUGUGCUGCUCAAGUCACGAACAGGAGAAUUUGAUUUGGAGUCAAUACUGUUUCUCAAAUUGAGAGGUCUUGGAACACAUGAUCUUGGAUGCAUUGGGGAGUGUAUGAAUUUGGAGAGACUGGACCUCUCUGGAAAUAACAUCACAAAUUUAGCACCUCUAGCAUCUCUUCGGCUUCUUUCUGUACUCAAUGUGUCUGCCAACAGGAUUUCCAGUUUAGAGCCCCUGCGCAGUUGUGACAGUUUACAGAACUUAAACGUGGCUGGUAAUAUCAUAUCCAGCAUUGAGAGCCUACACUGCAUUCAGUCUUUGAGAAAGCUAGAAAAUAUACGUUUUAAAGACAACACUUACAAUUACACUAAUCCAGUGUGCAGGAACGCAGCAUAUAGAACCAUAGUUCUUGAGAUGUUCCCCAACAUCAAGGUGCUGGAUGGUGAAAGAGUGGUUGGACGUGGGAGUGACUUGUACCAAUUAUGCAAAGACAUUGAUGAGACCAUCAAAGCCGGUUUAUACAAGAAUGGGCAGCUUGUUGAACAUCCUGAUUGCAAACCAUGGGUGGAGGAUAGUUACUGGGAGAUAAAGAGAUCAAACAAUGCCAUUAUUGAUGAAGCCUACAAACAGUUUAACGAUGUUCUUCAUGAAUGCAGACUCCUCAACAACAGAGCCACUCAUGUCAUUUCGCAAACUGAAAGAUCGAUGAGCCUGAAGAAGCAGCCAAAGCAGUAUGCCAUUUGAGUUGGGCUAUUUUCAACACAUUUGUGUGCAACCUUUAGCAACUUUUUGUUGUAUGAUCUACCAUGGCCAAUGUACUGUAGGUUUCUGAAAUGACUAAGCUUUAUCCAAGUGCUUGAUAUGUAUUAUAGCCAGACACACAUGCUUUGUGUUGCAUUUGUUGAAAUUGCAUCACAUCCUAAGCGCUGGGUAACUGACAUACAAUACAUGUAAGUGGUUUGAAAACCUUUAUCCAUACUGACUCCCCUCAGUUUGGUGCAUAGAUAUCUUUACUUGCACAGUGUGCAUUUUGUACCAUGUUCAGCCUGCAUUUAUGCUGAGACCUAUGCUGCUUAAGAAUUUCUAUAGGUUUAAGUGAUUAAGAGCUUUUUUCCAUUUGGCAUUGCUGGAUAAUUUGGGGAGUGCCAUGCUGUAUGCUUUCUUGUAAGUUUUGCAAAAAGUGAUUGAAUGAUUGUUUCAGCUGUUUCUACUUUACCAUUUUAUACCAUAAAGUUUAUUAUGUGUACAAUCAA